AUACGUAGGGGGCGAGCGUUGUCCGGAAUGAUUGGGCGUAAAGGGCGCGUAGGCGGCCCGGUAAGUCUGGAGUGAAAGUCCUGUUUUUAAGAUGGGAAUUGCUUUGGAUACUGUCGGGCUUGAGUGCAGGAGAGGGAAGUGGAAUUCCCAGUGUAGCGGUGAAAUGCGUGGAGAUUGGGAGGAACACCAGUGGCGAAGGCGACUUACUGGACUGUAACUGACGCUGAGGCGCGAAAGUGUGGGGAGCAAACAGGAUUAGAUACCCUGGUAGUCCACACUGUAAACGAUGAAUGCUAGGUGUAGGGGGUAUCGACCCCUUCUGUGCCGCAGUCAACACAAUAAGCAUUCCGCCUGGGGAGUACGGCCGCAAGGUUGAAACUCAAAUGAAUU
rnacentral:rRNA from 1 species